CUUGUUUCUGUCAUCAGACUUUACCUCUUUAAGCUUAUGUUUAAGCUGUUUCUGAGUCAUCAGUCCUAUGUUAACCUGUUUGGGCUUUUCAGAUUUUAAAUUGUUGUUAAUCUCUGAUUUUGGUCUACAUUGUUUAGUCUUAGAGGAUUCAACAACAAAUUUAACAGGUUUAACCUUAGGUUUUUGAGUUUUAACAAACUCUGUUUUUGAUGACUCAGCUUCUGAGUUAUCAGUGUAACCUAGUCCCUUCUUCCAGUUUCC
rnacentral:lncRNA from 1 species